CCUGGACUCCAGAGCCUUCUGUAGACCAAACUGAAGAAGCCAUGAGUCACUGUGCUUGGAGGGGAGGGGCAUGUGUUUGUGCAGGAUUUGUUUCCCGACCUCGAUGAAUCAUGUGUAUAAUCACCCAAACUGCAUCCUGUCUGGGGAAGUAACCAAAACCCCUAUUUCUGGCCCCAAUGGCUUCUUGGUUUUAUGAGUAAAUGCCACUGGCAUGCCAUUAAAUAAAUGCCCUCAGAAAGCCCUCAGCUAGUGCCAUAACCUACAAUAGUCUGGGUUGUGACAGAUCAGCCUUGCUUUGAGAAUAUGAGACAGGGUCUUUCACUGACACUGGAGCUCACCAAUUCAGCUAGACUGACUGGCCACUGAGCCUCAGGAAUCCUCUUGUCUCCACCUUCCCCGAGCUGGGAUUACAGAUAUGGUAUCUGUGCUACCAUGCCCAUCUCUGGGCAGAUGGAGAAGUGAGAAUUGAUGCAAUAAAGCCUUGCUUUGUUUGCUCACAAAGCACGAUGCUUUCUUUCCAUUCUGCUUACUUGCUCAGCACUGGUCCUGAGAAUGGGGACAGAGAAGAUAAGCCAAGGUUCACCCAAGCCAAGGAUAGAUAUAGUGGGAACAGAGUGUCAAGAAUUCUCUCCGUUCAGUGACAGCAUAUAGGGGAAGACUCAGUGGCACUUUUUCCCUGACUCUCUAGUGGCCUCCAGCCCCUACCUGUGCCACUUAGUGACUGCACCACCACAGGCAAAUCUGCCAUUUCUUUCUCAGCUAAGAAAGUCACGUAACACCCACUACAAUAGAAUCAUGCAGACUUAGUAAAUUGUGAAGUGCUGCCCAACUACAAAUUCAAAACUACCUAUUUUUUCCCAUUCCUCUACCUUGGAUUUACAAGCAUCUUUGGAGGCCCAGUAGUCAAUGGUGAUCUUCAAAUGGACAUUGAGGUGCAAGGAGGAAGAUCUGUGAAAACUCUAAGGGACAGAUAAAGAUAACAAAUGCUUUACCAAUGUUCUACACUGCCUUCUCCAUAUGCCACACUGCCACUCAAAACUGAGGGAAAGAAGAAAGAAUACAGCUACAGGUGUCAGAGCCAGCUAAAGUUCUCCUCAGUGACCUCCACCAGCCUGACCCAGGCCGCAGACCCAACUUUAUGUCUGACACAUUUCAUUUCAGUGAGAAAAAAUUGCAAGUGACCUGGAAAGAACAUUCUAGAAAGGGGGGAGAGUGACAGGAUUAUUACUAUCACAGUCUGUCAUUUCUUUCUUCCAAAUAGUCCGACCAUAUGCCCAAGACAUGAUAUUGACUCCUGUGUCCAGGACACAGAAAACUCACUCCCCCAGGCACCAUGUAGACGCCAUCAAUCAUUUAUCUGCAUGAGAAAUAGAGCUGAGGCUGGAAAAAGAAUAUUUGAUUCUGUCAAAAAAAAAAAAGGAGUGAAUAUGAAGUGUCUCGUUUAUCAAAGAGAUUAGUUUUAAAAGUCUGGGGAGUUACAUGUGUAAAUUGUCCAAAAAUUGUAGAAUAAGAUAUGAGGGUAGAUUUGCAUGUAUACCGUCCUCUUCAGGACUCGGCAAACUCCCUGCUGAGAAUAGCAAGGUUCUAUUAACUGAUUAAUUAUUAUUAAUGCCAACUUUUAUUUAGCUAGCAAUUAUAAUCUAUUAAGAGCAUUUCUUCACAUCCUCUUACUUAUUCAGUCCUCGGAACAAUCUGUGAAGCUCGUCAGUAAUAUAUUAUUAUCUCCCUUUUUAGACAAAGGAAAGGGAAACUCUGGGGUUUCCUUGCUUAGGCUAAUGCCGACAGUAAGUGGCAAGUUCUAGACUAGAAAACAGAAUUUCUGAUUGCUGGUCCACUUCCUAGAGCGGCUGUGGAAGAUCCAAAGGAAGAAAGGGAAAGUGGGAAGCAUUGGUUGAGAGUGGAAAGAACCUAGAAAAGCCGGCAGACCAGAAUUCCUCCUAGUUUAGGUCAAAGUGGGAGUAGGUGUGGCUAUAUGACACACAACUCGAAAGAUUUGAUGCACUGUGAGGCACAUCUACCCACUCUCAACUUCCUUAUGCAACUGGACAUUCCACGUUGGCCUCCCACCCACCCUUUUAAAGUCAAGUUUCUUAAGCAGCCUAGUUGGAACCAACUUCAGACUGAUAUCUAUUCCCAAGCCCUCCCUCUCUCAGACCGCAACCUUUUUUCUCUCUUUUGUCGUCUUUUGAGCAACCACACCCCUGACCCUCCUCCCUUCCUUGAUGUUCUUAAUCAAUGCCCCUCUGCACUCCUUCCCCCUUAAACUCUGCUGACAGCUCUCCUUCUGGUCUAUCCAUUUUCCCAGGUCAGGAGCUCUGGGCCUCUUUACCCAUAAGCCCCCUGGUCAUCCUCCCUCUGGCUCUCACCUGUACUCCACAGCCACAGGCACCUCCUGGUCGCCCCUCAGCUGUCUUCCUUCUGUCGGUCUGAGGACUCCAGCCUCCCUCCAGGGCCUACAAGCUGGAGCUGUGCAGUCUCCAGGCUCUUCGUUAUUUCACUUCUUGGUUCACAGCGCUAGUAAAUAACAACAUACAAUAAAAGAUGGUCUCAGCUAUGUUUCUCGACUGCAGCCUCCAGCAGUGUUAUCUCAGGCCCCAACAUUGCAACAAAGAAAUCUCACAGUUGGGUUAGUGAGAACCAGUACAGGACAGGAGCAGAAAACUUCAGCGCUUCCCCAACAGCUCAGCCCCAGCUGCCCUCCAGGGGCUCCCCCUAGUGGGAGAUGCUGAGCAUGGCAGGUCAGGUCUUGAUUUGGGAUCGUGUCUUCGGGUGGGAGGAGGGGAGUGAUGCAAAGGAGAGAGCAACACUGUGUUCUCUGUGAGCGAGCUGCAGCCUCUGUGUGAAUUGCAGGGCGGAGGUCCUCUGAAAUCAAUCAGGGAAAUCCUUUGGAAAGCCAGAGUUCUUGGGAUCUGAAAGUCUCUGAGUUUAGGUGGAAAUGGUCUAAGUAUUAAAUUAGCUUACAGGGCUUAAACUGUAUAAGGGACAAGGUGAUUGGCAAUCAUUUGCUGCUGCUACUGCAGCACGUCCACUUUGAACUGGUAAAAAGGGAUCUCAAAGCCACACUGUCACACACAUGGCUGUUCUGGAGAGACAGGCAUAGUCUCUGAAGUCUGAGAAAAGCAUACUAGUCCAGUCUCCUGGGCUCUCUUGGCCUUUUGGUGUCAUAGGAACCUGGGCUACUUUCUGCCGCCCAGUGUGACGAAUACAGACUGCAUAUCCAAAUAGCAUCUUUCUCCGCAGAGAUGCAAUCUCAUUCAUUCUAACCUACCCAGCAGGCAGAUAGGAAAUAAGAAGCCGAUUAUUCUCUUUUGCAAAGAGGCAAACAAGUGAUGCUUCCAGUUCCACCAGGCAAACCAUCAGAAGAGGGAACAUCGGGACUGGGUUUCCUGACAUCUUCCCUCCCAGGACAUCCAGACAGUGUUCCACCUCUGGAGAUGAGGGGAAUAAAGAUUGAUUUCAACCUCAGGGCAGGGCAGGGUAGUGAGCUGCACCCCUCAGCAACCGAGAUUGGCUCGCCCCACACCCCAGUGUGAGGAGAGUGUGCAGAGCUGAACAUGAUGCAGAGAGAGGGACCCAGUCUGAUGCUGCAGACAAGAGUUCAAUUCAUCAUUAUGUCAAAUUGGGAAAGGAAGCGAUAGGACCAGCGGGAAGCUUUUUAUUUACCAGUAACAGGUAGUAAGGGUAAAUGAAUAAAAAGACCUUACAGGGUGAUGACAGUGAGUUGGUGUUGACUAGGUAACCACAUGCUUUGUGAUACAAUCACCAUCAGACCAGUUGGGAGACCUUAAAUGUGAGAUUAGAAGAGCCCUGUUUCACUGAUAAAGAAACUGAGAUCCGGUUGGUUAAUGGACCAGCUUGUGAUCAAAUCAAAAUCUCUGAAAGCUUAGAACCCAUUUCACAUGCCAUAGUGCUAUAUGGGCUCUUCUAGCUAUCCUGGGUGGGGUGAGAAAUCAAUAUAAAAUACUCCUAUUUACUCAGCAAACCAAAUCACAAGCCAAGUCUCACCCAUCUCUAUUAAAUCCCACUGUCAUUCUGAUGUUGGGAGUAGCACUGCACUGAACCAUGUGGGAAGCUUGAACUUGGUAUAAAAUGGUAAAGUUAUGUUGCUUAAGAACCACACCUACUUUAUGGGCUCUUUCUCCCCUGACAACAUGGACACUAUGGGAAUUAGCUUCCAAAUAGUAACAACAACCCAUGAAAAAGAAGCUUAUGGUGGUGGUGAUGAUGAUGAAGAGGAAAAGUCAGUUAAUGAUAUGGUUAUUGACCACAGAGUCAAUUAUUAUUGCUUAGAUCUGUCCUGAGACCUUGGGUUGAGCACGUGUUCAACGACUCUGACUAUACUUAAGUUCUGUUAUAAAUAAACAUCAAACAAAAAAGAGAGAGAUUUAAAGGUGGGCAUGGUAAUGCAGGCCUAUAAUUACAGAAUGCAGGUGGUGAAGGCAAGAGGAUUAGGGGUUCAAGCCCAACUUCAGCUACAUAGCAAGUUGGAGACUAGCCAAUGCUGCAUAAGACGCUCCACCCAGAAAAGAUGAAAAGUCAAAGAAAGGUAAGAAAGCUGCAAAAGCACAAAUAUUACGG
rnacentral:lncRNA from 1 species